rnacentral:tRNA from 1 species
CAAAUUAGAGCUUGUGAAAGUAUUUUAUUUACAUUAAAAAGAAAAUUUUAAUUAAUUUAAUUUGA